GAAAUGCGAUAAGUAAUGUGAAUUGCAGAAUUCAGUGAAUCAUCGAAUCUUUGAACGCACAGUGCGCCCGGGAGCAUUCUCCCGGGCAUGCCUGUUCGAGCGUCAUUUCAACCCUCGACCUCCCCUUGGGGAGGCCGGCCGUUGGAGAUCGGCAGCGAUUGCCGGCUCCCAAAUUCAGUGGCGACCCGCCGCGGGGACCCCUGCGCAGUAACAUACACUCGCACCGGAAACCAGACGUGUCACGCCGUAAAACCCCAACUUUCUGAACGUUGACCUCGGAUCAGGUAGGAAUACCCGCUGAACUUAAGC
rnacentral:misc_RNA from 1 species